rnacentral:tRNA from 2 species
CGGGGCGUAGCGCAGCCUGGUAGCGCAUCCGCUUUGGGAGCGGAAGGUCGCCGGUUCAAAUCCGGCCGCCCCGACUA